rnacentral:rRNA from 1 species
UACGUAGGGGGCAAGCGUUGUCCGGAUUUACUGGGCGUAAAGAGCUCGUAGGCGGUUUGUUGCGUCGGCUGUGAAAUCCCGAGGCUCAACCUCGGGUCUGCAGUCGAUACGAGCAAACUAGAGUGUUGCAGGGGAGACUGGAAUUCCUGGUGUAGCGGUGAAAUGCGCAGAUAUCAGGAGGAACACCGGUGGCGAAGGCGGGUCUCUGGGCAACAACUGACGCUGAGGAGCGAAAGCGUGGGGAGCGAACAGG